AUAAUAAAAUCAGGAAUAAAAAAAAAAAAGAAGAGCGGCCCGGGCCGCUCCAGCUCUCCUCCUCCCACCCCUCUGCCCACCCUCUCCCCCUCUCCCCGGCCCCCAGCCCCGAACCCCGCGCACCUCGUCAGGGGACGGGGCGCGGGGGGGGGGGGCGGGGGGGGGGUGGGCAGGGCCGCCUCUCCUCCCCGCCCCCUCCUCCUCCGGCCUCUGGAGCGAUUUGUCAAACUUCCCAUUCCGCCGGCAGCGCGGUCCUCCUCUUCCUCCUCCUCCUCCUCCUCCUCCUCCUUCUCUGCCUCCUCCUCCCCCCUGCGCUCCUCCCUCCGCGAGCCUCCCUCGCCCGCCCUCCUUCUUCCCUCCGCACGUUCGGGGUUCGCGGCGGAGCGCGGCGCGGGGGGGACGCAGAGAGCCUGGGCGCAGCAGCAUCCUGCGGGUGGCGGCUCUCCGGAGGAGGGGAGGCUGAGAGCAGGCCCGCCUCGUCCCCCCCGCGGGCCCGCCGCCCCUCCCUCCCUGUCCUCAGCCCGGCAGCGGCGGCGGCGGCAGUGGCAGUCGCCAGAGAAGCAUCAUGACGGGGAGGAAGCAGCAGGCGCCCCGGCGCAGCAGAUGGGAGGGCAUUCUCAGCACGUGGCUUUCGCUGUUAUGGCUGCACUGAAUAAAAGCAAGCAGCUCCAGCUGUCCGAGGCUGCUCUCUUUGGCCACUGGAGCUGGCAGCCCCCUAGCUGGUCUUACACUGUAUACCUGUGUCUGAGUACUCCUUUCAUCUGUCACUUGGCCAGGGUCUGUGGGACAGACCCAGCAACUCUGCAGGCUGGAAAGUGCAAGACCAAGUUGCGGACAGAUUUAGUGUCUGGUUAAAGCCCUCUUUCCGGUUGGCCAGUGGCUGUCUUUUUGUUGUAUCCUCACUUGGCAGAGAAAGGGUUGGGAGGAAGGAGAGCAUGAUAAUCUCCUUUUACGAAUACACUAAUCCCAUCCUGGGGGCUCCGCCCUCAUGAUCUCAUCUAAACUUAACUACCAGCCAGUGGCCCCACCUCCAUGUACCAUCAGAGUGGAGGUUAGGGUUUCAAUAUAUGAAUUUGGGGUUGCAGUCCUUAACAAUUGCUUACAACAUUUCAACAGUGGCUGAGCAUGGUGGCUCAUGCCUGUAGUCUCAGCACUUUGGGAGGCCGAGGUGGGAAGAUUACUUGAGCGUAGGAGUUUUAGACUAUCUCAGGCAACAUAGUGACACUCUGCCUCAAAAAAAAACAAAGAAGAAAAGAAGACAGGUAGAGAGAGAGAAGAAAGAAAUAAAGAAAGAAAGAGAAAGAAAGAAAAGAAAGAAAGAAAAAGAAAGAAAGAAAGAAGAAAGAAAAGAAAGAAAGAAAGAAGAAAGAAAAGAAGAAAAGAAAGAAAAGGUGAGAGGGUGGGAGGGAGGGAGGGAAGGAAGGAAGGGAGGGAGGGAGGGAGGGAGGGAAGGAGGGGAGGAAGGAAGGAAGGAAGGGAGGGAGGGAGGGAGGGAGGGAGGGAGGGAAGGAAGGAAGGAAGGAAGGAAGGAAGGAAGGAAGGAAGGAAAUCUCAACAAGGACAUUUUCCAGUCUGCCUUUCACAUCAGGAUUCUCAAGCACUUUACCAGAUUAUGCAUAGGGCCAUUUCACUGUUCACUGUAUUAGUUAUUCAAACAGAGCUUUGGGUAUGUCAAGGUACCUGCAGGGUACCAUCCAACAAAGCUCUGACAUCCCUAUGCAAAUAGUCAAACAAAUUUGUCCUUGGAAACUUUUUGGCUGCCACACAGUUCAGUCCCCAGGUAUUUGUCCUGGGGUCUCCCAUGUAAGCUAUUCUCUAGUAAGCCC
rnacentral:lncRNA from 1 species